GUGCUCGCUUCGGCAGCACAUAUAGUAAAAUUGUAAAGAUACAGAGAAGAUCAGCAUGGCCCCUGUGCAAGGAUGACAGGCAAAUUCGUGAAGCCCUCCAUAUCUUU
rnacentral:snRNA from 1 species